UACGUAGGGUGCGAGCGUUAAUCGGAAUUACUGGGCGUAAAGCGUGCGCAGGCGGUGAUGUAAGACAGAUGUGAAAUCCCCGGGCUCAACCUGGGAACUGCAUUUGUGACUGCAUCGCUGGAGUGCGGCAGAGGGGGGAUGGAAUUCCGCGUGUAGCAGUGAAAUGCGUAGAUAUGCGGAGGAACACCGAUGGCGAAGGCAAUCCC
rnacentral:rRNA from 1 species